rnacentral:lncRNA from 1 species
UCUGGAUGACUAUUUAAUUAAUAGUGCUUGACAGGCUGCAAAUAUCUUGCUUGCUGGUUAAGUCUAGUUUGUUGAAAUAUUAUGAUAUAAAUUCAAAGACAGGCAUGUGAUGCAUCACUAUAAGCAGUUUUGAUAAUAUUCUGUGGUUCUAUUGUGUCAUGUAACUAUUAUCACAUGUUAUUUGAGGGGUUGUGAAUAAAUAACACAAAAGACAGUGCAGCCUCUAUGGUUUAGUAGUACCGUCUUUUGAACUUAAUAAUCUGAAUCAUGGGUGGAAAGAACUUCUAUCCCUCACGAUGCUUUCAAUUUAUGAAACCAAAUUUUUACGUUUCAAGUAUCACAGGAGUUUGGUGAUGUCCUUUUCACAUUUUUUUGCAUGUGUUUUGCAAUUUGCUUGUGGGUUGUUAAAAGUAUUUGGUUGCUGAAUUAUGUUGUUCUCUCUUUAUAUUUAGCACUAUACUUUUGAAGGAUAUAUACACAAAAAUCUCAAGGAUUAUCUGAUAACCUAGACAGGAAUCGGAAUUCUAGUGUCCGAUGGGAAACUUUGUAUAUUUUGUGGGGUGGUUGGUGUCUAGUCAUAAUUAGUUUGAUGGUGCAGGAGUGACU